AUCCAUCUGACGUGUCCCAAAUAGGACGAAACGCGCAUCCUGAAU
rnacentral:hammerhead_ribozyme from 1 species